rnacentral:rRNA from 1 species
GACGAACGCUGGCGGCGUGCCUAAUACAUGCAAGUCGAACGCUUCUUUCCUCCCGAGUGCUUGCACUCAAUUGGAAAGAGGAGUGGCGGACGGGUGAGUAACACGUGGGUAACCUACCCAUCAGAGGGGGAUAACACUUGGAAACAGGUGCUAAUACCGCAUAACAGUUUAUGCCGCAUGGCAUAAGAGUGAAAGGCGCUUUCGGGUGUCGUUGAUGGAUGGACCCGCGGUGCAUUAGCUAGUUGGUGAGGUAACGGCUCACCAAGGCCACGAUGCAUAGCCGACCUGAGAGGGUGAUCGGCCACACUGGGACUGAGACACGGCCCAGACUCCUACGGGAGGCAGCAGUAGGGAAUCUUCGGCAAUGGACGAAAGUCUGACCGAGCAACGCCGCGUGAGUGAAGAAGGUUCUCGGAUCGUAAAACUCUGUUGUUAGAGAAGAACAAGGACGUUAGUAACUGAACGUCCCCUGACGGUAUCUAACCAGAAAGCCACGGCUAACUACGUG